CCCUUAGAUGUUCUGGGCCGCACGCGCGCUACACUGAUGCAUUCAACGAGCCUAUCCUUGACCGACAGGUCCGGGUAAUCUCUGAAUCUGCAUCGUGACGGGGAUAGAUUAUUGCAAUUAUUAAUCUUCAACGAGGAAUGCCUAGUAGGCGCAAGUCAUCAGCUUGCGUCGAUUACGUCCCUGCCCUUUGUACACACCGCCCGUCGCUCCUACCGAUUGGGUGUGCUGGUGAAAUGUUCGGAUCGGCCGUUUGUCGCGGUUUCCGCGUCAUGUGGCUGAGAAGUUCAUUAAACCCUCCCACCGAGAGGAAGGAGAAGUCGUAACA
rnacentral:rRNA from 1 species